GUGCCAGCCGCCGCGGUAAUACGUAGGUGGCAAGCGUUGUCCGGAUUUAUUGGGCGUAAAGCGAGCGCAGGCGGUUUCUUAAGUCUGAUGUGAAAGCCUUCGGCUCAACCGAAGAAGUGCAUCGGAAACUGGGAAACUUGAGUGCAGAAGAGGACAGUGGAACUCCAUGUGUAGCGGUGAAAUGCGUAGAUAUAUGGAAGAACACCAGUGGCGAAGGCGGCUGUCUGGUCUGUAACUGACGCUGAGGCUCGAAAGCAUGGGUAGCAAACAGGAUUAGAUACCCUGGUAGUCCAUGCCGUAAACGAUGAGUGCUAGGUGUUGGAGGGUUUCCGCCCUUCAGUGCCGCAGCUAACGCAUUAAGCACUCCGCCUGGGGAGUACGACCGCAAGGUUGAAACUCAAAGGAAUUGACGGGGGCCCGCACAAGCGGUGGAGCAUGUGGUUUAAUUCGAAGCAACGCGAAGAACCUUACCAGGUCUUGACAUCCUUUGACCACUCUAGAGAUAGAGCUUUCCCUUCGGGGACAAAGUGACAGGUGGUGCAUGGUUGUCGUCAGCUCGUGUCGUGAGAUGUUGGGUUAAGUCCCGCAACGAGCGCAACCCUUAUUACUAGUUGCCAGCAUUAAGUUGGGCACUCUAGUGAGACUGCCGGUGACAAACCGGAGGAAGGUGGGGACGACGUCAAAUCAUCAUGCCCCUUAUGACCUGGGCUACACACGUGCUACAAUGGAUGGUACAACGAGUUGCGAGACCGCGAGGUUUAGCUAAUCUCUUAAAACCAUUCUCAGUUCGGAUUGUAGGCUGCAACUCGCCUACAUGAAGCCGGAAUCGCUAGUAAUCGCGGAUCAGCAUGCCGCGGUGAAUACCUUCCCGGGCCUUGCACAUACCGCCCUU
rnacentral:rRNA from 1 species